GAUGAACGCUGGCGGCGUGCCUAAUACAUGCAAGUCGAGCGAACAGACGAGGAGCUUGCUCCUCUGACGUUAGCGGCGGACGGGUGAGUAACACGUGGAUAACCUACCUAUAAGACUGGGAUAACUUCGGGAAACCGGAGCUAAUACCGGAUAAUAUAUUGAACCGCAUGGUUCAAUAGUGAAUGACGGUUUUGCCGUCACUUAUAGAUGGAUCCGCGCCGCAUUAGCUAGUUGGUAAGGUAACGGCCUACCAAGGCAACGAUGCGUAGCCGACCUGAGAGGAUGAUCAGCCACACUGGAACUGAGACACGGUCCAGACUCCUACGGGAGGCAGCAGUAGGGAAUCUUGCACAAUGGGCGAAAGCCUGACGCAGCCACACCGCGUGAGUGAUGAAGGUCUUCGGGUCGUAAAGCUCUGUUAUUGGGGAAGAACAAAUGUGGAAGUAACUAUGCACGUCUUGACGGUACCUAAUCAGAAAGCCCCGGCUAACUUCGUG
rnacentral:rRNA from 1 species